rnacentral:lncRNA from 1 species
CGGCUAGGUCUAGAUGCAGCAAUGGAAACUUCCUGAGGGAGGGCAGAAUCGUCUUCUUCCUCUUUUUCUUCCUUGGGAUCUUUAUCAGUUGUUACUUUUUCUAUGCAUAGGAGUCGCGGACUCUUCUUGCCCUGAACUGGAGACGGGGACUUCGCGGCCUGGGGCUGCUGCCCGGGGACGUCGGGAGGCCUGGCGCUGGGGCUGCUCCUCCGCCGGCGGGGAUACUCGGCCUUCCUCCGGCGGGACACAGCUGCGGCGGCGGCGGCCGCAGCGGCCCGGCCUCGGUCCCGACCUCCCCUCAGCACGCGGCUGCUAGUGGUCCCUGCAGGCGCCGCCGCGACCGCCUCAGGGGGCCGUUGUUGGGGCUCCUCCGGAGCCGCCUUGGCCGCCUCUCCCCCUUCCUGGUCCUGCUGCUCCGGGGGUCUCGGCUCUUCCGUCUCCCCCGGCAUCGGGGCUUGUCCGUCCCCCACCCCCUAGUCCUAGGCGGCGGAGGCGGAGGCGGCGGCCUCGGCGCUGCUCCCCCCGCCCCCUCGCCUCCCGAAGCCUGCGGCUCACUCUCACCCUGCGCUCCUCUUUCCCCCCUCCCCUCCGCCCGGCUCCGAGGGCGCCCCCCCCACCCCCUGCC